rnacentral:rRNA from 1 species
AUUGAACGCUGGCGGCAGGCCUAACACAUGCAAGUCGAGCGGAUGAAGGGAGCUUGCUCCUGGAUUCAGCGGCGGACGGGUGAGUAAUGCCUAGGAAUCUGCCUGGUAGUGGGGGAUAACGUCCGGAAACGGGCGCUAAUACCGCAUACGUCCUGAGGGAGAAAGUGGGGGAUCUUCGGACCUCACGCUAUCAGAUGAGCCUAGGUCGGAUUAGCUAGUUGGUGGGGUAAAGGCCUACCAAGGCGCCGAUCCGUAACUGGUCUGAGAGGAUGAUCAGUCACACUGGAACUGAGACACGGUCCAGACUCCUACCGGAGGCAGCAGUGGGGAAUAUUGGACAAUGGGCGAAAGCCUGAUCCAGCCAUGCCGCGUGUGUGAAGAAGGUCUUCGGAUUGUAAAGCUCUUUAAGUUGGGAGGAAGGGCAGUAAGUUAAUACCUUGCUGUUUUGACGUUACCAACAGAAUAAGCACCGGCUAACUUCGUG